rnacentral:rRNA from 1 species
UACAGAGGUCCCAAGCGUUGUUCGGAAUCAUUGGGCGUAAAGAGCGUGUAGGCGGCUUGUUAAGUCUUGCGUGAAAUCUCGGGGCUCAACCCCGAGCGGUCGUGAGAAACUGGCAGGCUAGAGUGCGGGAGAGGAGAGUGGAAUUCCUGGUGUAGCGGUGAAAUGCGCAGAUAUCAGGAAGAACACCCGUGGCGAAGGCGGCUCUCUGGAACGCAACUGACGCUGAGACGCGAAAGCGUGGGGAGCAAACAGG